CCAAACUGUUGCCUCGGCGGGAUCUCUGCCCCGGGUGCGUCGCAGCCCCGGACCAAGGCGCCCGCCGGAGGACCAACCAAAACUCUUUUUGUAUACCCCCUCGCGGGUUUUUUAUAAUCUGAGCCUUCUCGGCGCCUCUCGUAGGCGUUUCGAAAAUGAAUCAAAACUUUCAACAACGGAUCUCUUGGUUCUGGCAUCGAUGAAGAACGCAGCGAAAUGCGAUAAGUAAUGUGAAUUGCAGAAUUCAGUGAAUCAUCGAAUCUUUGAACGCACAUUGCGCCCGCCAGUAUUCUGGCGGGCAUGCCUGUCCGAGCGUCAUUUCAACCCUCGAACCCCUCCGGGGGGUCGGCGUUGGGGAUCGGCCCUCCCUUAGCGGGUGGCCGUCUCCGAAAUACAGUGGCGGUCUCGCCGCAGCCUCUCCUGCGCAGUAGUUUGCACACUCGCAUCGGGAGCGCGGCGCGUCCACAGCCGUUAAACACCCAACUUCUGAAAUGUUGACCUCGGAUCAGGUAGGAAUACCCGCUGAACUUAAGCAUAUCAAUAAGCGGAGGAAAA
rnacentral:rRNA from 1 species